AUUGAACGCUGGCGGCAUGCCUUACACAUGCAAGUCGAACGGCAGCACGGGUGCCUGCACCUGGUGGCGAGUGGCGAACGGGUGAGUAAUACAUCGGAACAUGUCCUGUAGUGGGGGAUAGCCCGGCGAAAGCCGGAUUAAUACCGCAUACGAUCCACGGAUGAAAGCGGGGGACCUUCGGGCCUCGCGCUAUAGGGUUGGCCGAUGGCUGAUUAGCUAGUUGGUGGGGUAAAGGCCUACCAAGGCGACGAUCAGUAGCUGGUCUGAGAGGACGACCAGCCACACUGGGACUGAGACACGGCCCAGACUCCUACGGGAGGCAGCAGUGGGGAAUUUUGGACAAUGGGCGAAAGCCUGAUCCAGCAAUGCCGCGUGUGUGAAGAAGGCCUUCGGGUUGUAAAGCACUUUUGUCCGGAAAGAAAUCCUUGACUCUAAUACAGUCGGGGGAUGACGGUACCGGAAGAAUAAGCACCGGCUAACUACGUG
rnacentral:rRNA from 1 species